AACGAACGCUGGCGGCAUGCCUAACACAUGCAAGUCGAACGAGACCUUCGGGUCUAGUGGCGCACGGGUGCGUAACGCGUGGGAACCUGCCCUUAGGUUCGGAAUAACUCCCCGAAAGGGGUGCUAAUACCGGAUAAUGUCUUCGGACCAAAGAUUUAUCGCCUUUGGAUGGGCCCGCGUUGGAUUAGCUAGUUGGUAGGGUAAAAGCCUACCAAGGCGACGAUCCAUAGCUGGUCUGAGAGGAUGAUCAGCCACACUGGGACUGAGACACGGCCCAGACUCCUACGGGGGGCCGCAGGGGGGAAUAUUGGACAAGGGGCGAAAGCCUGAUCCAGCAAGGCCGCGGGAGUGAUGAAGGCCUUGGGGUUGUAAAGCUCUUUUCCCCGGGAUGAUAAUGACAGUACCGGGAGAAUAAGCCCCGGCUAACUCCGU
rnacentral:rRNA from 1 species